AGAGUUUGAUCCUGGCUCAGAACGAACGCUGGCGGCGUGCUUAACACAUGCAAGUCGAACGGAUCAGUGGGGAAGGGCAACCGGAAGCACUGGUUAGUGGCGCACGGGUGAGUAACACGUAGGCAACCUACCCUCAGGCGGGGGACAACCCAGGGAAACCUGGGCUAAUACCGCAUAAGACCACGGACUGGGAUGUCCGGGGUAAAAGGAGCAAUUCUCCUGGGGAUGGGCCUGCGGCCUAUCAGGUAGUUGGUGGGGUCAAGGCCUACCAAGCCGAAGACGGGUAGCCGGUCUGAGAGGACGAACGGCCACACUGGAACUGAGACACGGUCCAGACUCCUACGGGAGGCAGCAGUGGGGAAUUUUGCACAAUGGGCGCAAGCCUGAUGCAGCGACGCCGCGUGGAGGAUGAAGGCCUUCGGGUUGUAAACUCCUUUUGUAGGGGAAGAUAAUGACGGUACCCUGCGAAUAAGCCACGGCUAACUCUGUGCCAGCAGCCGCGGUAAUA
rnacentral:rRNA from 1 species